UAAGGACAUGCCAGUAUUUGAAAGUACGAC
rnacentral:piRNA from 1 species